UGAAAUGAUCUAAACAGAGUUUGUAACGAGUGAUGACUCUACCGCACUCCGCAGCCUUCAAAUAGAAACAGAAAAUCUCCCCUCUUCACUACUCCAAGGUUUGGCUUCAAUCUUGAGCUAUAAUAUUCCACUUAAACAAAGUUAAAUAACACUAUUUUUAUAAAAAGACAAAUCUAUCACUUUUAGUAGAUAAUCUUGCUUACAUUAAAUAAAUCUAUCACUUUUAGGAGAUAUGUAUUUUUUUUUCUAAAGAUUUAAUACAAUUAUACAUCUAACACUUGAAUUAAAACUGUUUGUUAAUCUGAAUUCCAUACACUAGUUAAUUUAGACACUCAAUAGUUAAAUAAUUAGUUUUGUUAAUCAAAGGACAAUGUUAUUUGAUUAAUUUUAUAUGAAAUAUAGUGAAAACUCUUGUUUUAGGUAUUAAAUACAUAUCAUCGAUAAUAAACAAUUCUUAGGAAAAUUUACAAAUUACUAUUUGUACAUAACCAAUGUUGUUUUGUUGGUCAAUAAGUCCAAAACCAACGGACAACAAUAAAUAAUUUAGUUGAUUUGAUUCAACGUCCGGUACCAAAACUGUCCAAAAAAAGUAAUGAUAAUUAAAUAGAAGUACAACAACGAUGAAAUAAAAAAAUUGGUAAAGAGACAACUAAUAAUAUUGAGGGAGGGAAUUAAGCGUAAGAACAUAUAUUCCCGUGGUUAUAAACUAGUAAUAAACAAUUCACUAACAAAUCAACACGUUUACUCGUGAGUAAACUAAACUAGUCUUAUUUUCCUUUUUAACAUUUGCGAUAUUAGAAUGUCUCUGCUAACUUAAUUAACACAUCAUCCUAAGAAAGACAAGUAAUGACCUCAUUAGUAUUUUAUUUUAUUUUUUCCUAAAAAUAUAAUAAAGCAUAUAGUAUAUUUUUAAGACAAGACUUGACCGACACGUCCAAGCUUGUGAGCCGCAGCUCGGCUUGGGGAACCAAAGCCAGCCGAAUGGGUUUGAGCCGCCGGGAAUUGUGGCCCAGUGAUCCAUGACAGGCUUGCGCGUGAACAAAGCAAGUGCCACCCCAUCAUGAUUUUGAUUUCAUCAGCAAAUCAGGGCCGUUUAAUUCCAGCCAAGCGAAUCAGGGACGUCAGAUGAGGGUGCGAACGGUUGCGUUGAGUUACCGCCACCCCAAUACAGCCCACAGCCAAUGUCACUCGCGACACGUGGCACGACCCCAUGAGUGGCAUACGCACUAACAAGUGCUCGACUGACUCAUAGGCUAGAAUAGUAAAUUUCCAAAACUGUCAAGAGAAAUUGGUUUUUUAAAUAUGAAAGAUAAAAAAUUUAAAUUUAAUCUUUAAAAAUUUUUAUAAAUAAUUUAAUGAUAAAUUAAUUAUUAAAUUUUGUAAUUCAAUAAAAAAAAUAUUUAAAAAUAUUUUUUAUUGUCAAUUAGUAUUAAAAUAUUAUAAUUUAAAAAUAAAAUAAUUUUAUAAAUUUAAUAAAAAAAAUAAUUCAUUACAUAUUUUACAUAUUCAGAAAACUAAAUUGAUGAUUUAUAUGAAAUCAUUUUAUCAGCAUCACACUUUUGAUUUUGAAAACUAAUAUGACUGUUUAUCUCUAUAAUACCAGGAAAUGCUAAAGCAACACGCGGGUGAGAUUGGAAGCAGCUGGGUCCCACGGGUUUGUCUUAUAAUUGGCUGUUUGGAGUCUUCAGAGUUGACUGGUGUGGCUGUGAUGUGGAAAUGGUGACUGUAAGGGAGCAUGUGGGUCCAAACACUGUAACGAAUUAUUUGACGGCCGUGAUUUGGUGUGGUUGAUGGAUUAGAAUUCAAGAGAGGCACCGUCCUCGUGCGCAUAGAUGAAUCAUUAGGUGGCUCCCAUUUACGAUCUCAAUGACAUGUGUGCGGUUAUUAUUGCACCUCUUCUAUUUUCUCAUUUUAAUGAAAUUAGAUCAUCAAACCUUGAUGAAAUUAAAUAACUUUACUGCAUCCUUA
rnacentral:lncRNA from 1 species